AAAAAAAAAAAAAGGUUGAUUGGAGUUAGCCAAUUAAAGAAAUGUAUAACAUAAGCUUUUUAGUAGUUUGUCUUCGUUUUAACUAUUUAAGUUAGGGGUGUGCAUGCCUUACGAUUCUCUCUAGCCAAAUCAAAAAUCAAACUGAAAAAUUAAAAUUAAAAAAGAAUCAUACUAGUAUGAGCCGUACUAAAUUUAUUUUACCAUUUUGAUAUAAUUCUGAUUUUUUAUCAAUAAUCAAAUGGGGAAUCAUAUCAAACAAAUAAAUAAAGUUAUAAUUGAUUUUGGACACUUUUUUAAUAUCAUUUAGUUGCAUUAUACAAUUUUAAUAUAAU
rnacentral:misc_RNA from 1 species